ACUGCCCCAGAAAACUCCGCAGAUGUGGCCGUUGUGUCACAUGUGUGCCAGUAGGUGGCAGAGAGGAGAGCAGCUAUGUCUACAGUGUUCUGACCUAUGAAUUUCUGAAGGAUUAGCAGCCUAACAAU